rnacentral:rRNA from 1 species
GACUCUCGGCAACAUAUAUCUCGGCUCACGCAUCGAUGAAGAACGUAGCAAAAUGCGAUACUUGGUGUGAAUUGCAUAAUCCCGUGAACCACCGAUUUUUUGAUCGCAAGUUGCUCCUGAAGCAUCCAGUUGUGGGCACGUCUGCGUGGGUGUCA